GCUGGCGGUUCUCACGAUCAAAGGGGCAGGGCUUAGGACCCUGUGCCUUAGUGGCUUCGUGGGUUCAAAUCCCACCCCCCGCA
rnacentral:tRNA from 1 species